CUAUAAUCCUCCCGCUUUGGCGCAUCAUGCUUAAUAGGGAAUCCGGUGAGAAUCCGGAGCUGGCGCGCAGCGGUAAGGGGGAACGAAGCGACAUCAGGGCACUGCCGUCAGGCGGGAAGCCGUCGCCGUAGGCUAUCAGCCCCCGAGCCCGAAGACCUGCCAGAGUUCGUAUUUCGGGC
rnacentral:ncRNA from 2 species